UUUACAUUGUAGCCUUCUCCCAGACCUACUCCAACCUGGGGAGAGAAAAACACGCCACUGUGGUCUCCAGCCCGCAGUUCCACUGGACACUUCCAAAGCCUCAUUCCAGUGGAUGCUGAAACCCUUCACUGAGCUUGCUCGUCACCUUUAGGGUAUGAUAAGUCCCUUUUCCUUUGCAUAGCACACACGCCCCAUGGAAUCAGAAAAUCAUGCUGCUCAGGCAGGUCACAUUCCCUAGCACUGGGCAGAAAAGCCUUCUUCAUGGGCAUACUCCCACCCUGAACACAAGGCUGUGCUCUGGGAAGUGGAAAUACAAGGUCAUCGGCACCACACUCUCCAUACUGAAGAGCACAUCAGAGAGAGAAGGGAGUAAACAGACUUCACUCAGGACUGGAAUCACACCUGCCCAACAAGCAAAGCACAUCUGGAUUAGGCCCAGUCCCAGAUGGAAGCUGAGGCGCACCACUGGCUUUGUAUUUACUUGGAUGUAAAAAGGUCCAGAGUAGCAAUUAGAUGAUGGGGUGACACUGCUUGCUAAGAGCCCUGGAGCCUGUGUGGCUAGGGGAUCUGAAGGGAUGAAGGUGUUCCCCCACUGAAGACCUUUCAUCUCUGUAACUUGUGGAGCAGGCCUAUUGGUCAGGGACAAUGGGUGUUUCAGCAUCUUGUGGCACUUUAAAACUUCCUUCUCCAGCAUCUGGAAGAAACAGGGAUUUCCUCAAAGUACCCUGCAGCUGUAGAGCUUGGAAGACUCGAAAGUAAGAUGGUGUGGGCUGGUGGUGACCUCAGAGGCCACCCUUUGGUCAGGACUUCAUACACUGAGAAGAUCUGAAACAAAAACUUCUCAUCUGUUGGAGCCACUGGGGAAUAGGUAUCGUUUAUGUACUGGGUAGUGGAGUAAAGUCACAUUCAAAGCCCAGCAACUUACAGAAAACUGACUUCUUAGAGCCAACAAGUCAAUCUGAAGAAAGUCAUGUCAGAUUAUUACUAAAGUCAGACCCAAAGACUAUACAACUCAAUGAGUAUCUAUGCAUAUGACUAGCAUAUGACUCUGAAGAAGGAAAUGAACAGUUAACCAAUUACUUUGCCUGCUUCCCAAAUUCUUAGAUCUUCAUUUGCCAUCUUUUCUUUAAAACUUUGGGCUUCUAUUGCUAGCCUAGUACUUACAAAACUACAAGAAUAGAUAUAUUUUUAAAAUGUAAUAUAUUAAAAUUCAUGCAAAACUAUUAAUUACUUAAAAUUUCAUUUUGAUUGUAUAAGAGGAAAAAGAAGUAUGGAUGUCUUUUUUUUAUGCAAAGUUGCAAACACUCUUCAUGGAUAUAUCUCUAGCCUUCAACACAGCCUAUUUAACAGUGAACUAUAAUGAAACUACAGUGAAACUUAAGUAUGUUUAGAAAACACAUGGAAAAUUAGAAUUCCAUAUUCUUCAUACAGAAGUACCUGCAGAAAUGUUACAAUAAACCUAUUUAUUUAAUCAAGUGAUUGUCAGUCCUCCAUUUUCUAAAUUCUACAUUUUUCAUCUAAAUAUAUCUUUAUGUGUCUUUGAUAGUAGUCUUUUCACCCUCCGUGGAUACCCAUUUACCUAAAUCUAAGGGCUGGAGGCUGAUGCCAUGACUUCCAAUAAGAUUUAAUUAUGAGUGCAGAUAUGAACAAGAUUUAAACUAUUAAGCCUUGUACUUAAAAAAAAAACCUCUAGCAUAUUUUGCCUUUAAAUCUUUUAUCACCUGCAAAAAUUAAUUAAGUACAGAUGCAGCAGGUUUGGCUUGGAUGCCAGGGUUCAUUUCCUGUCUAUACUUUGUCAGACAACCUAUUACACCUCCUGGUGAAGUGCAGGCAAACUGAAAAGGGGGCUCAUAAAUCACCAUUGGCUUUCCCUCGCCCUUUCCUGGGUUGGUUCUUUUUGUAUGGGGCAGAUCUCCAGCUCAUUAUUCUUGAAUACGUUUUAGACAAGCUGCCAAGUGUCAUCUGCAUUUAAACAAACCAUUUGUUAAACAAAUCACAACUAUUGUGUAAGAACUCAUCCUGCUAAAAUGCAGGAGGAAUCCAAUACCUCUGACUUUUAAUCACUCAGGGUUCCUGCAGGGACUCAUCCCAGACUGGCAUUUGAGGCUAGAGAUCUUUUCACAGUGACAUGUUGACUUGUUUUAAUAAUACCAGUGUUGCAAAACAAGGGAGGUACAUGAUUGCGAACCAGGGGGAAGUGGCCAAUUGGUAACCAAAGCAACUCCAUUCCUUCCAGCACAUCUGACUUUUUAAAGUCUAUAUUCUGUAGGGAAAAGUAAAUUCAGGUUCUGUUGUGCUAUUUAACUGUGGAAGUAUCAAUUCAUUUAAGGAUCAUAAAAGUUGC